UGUAAAAAACUCUUCUAAAACCUUAUGCUCUUAGCUAAAGACAUUACUUGAACCAAGAGUUAUUUUUACUAAAAUAUUUUCGUAUUUCUAUAAAGCUACAAUUCCUAAAAGAAAAAAAAAAUAAUUUUUUUUGAAUAAGAAGUAUGUUUUUCAAUGGUCUCAAUCUAUUUAAUUCUUAUAAUGGUUCAAGGCUUUAAUCUCAAUAAAUAGCUUUUGUAUUAACAUUCGAUUAAGAGAACUUUUAAAGUGAGAGAAAUAUGAUGUUUAGGAAAAGUAUGAUAAAAUUUAUUAUGUUCGUGAUGAUGGAGUUGAUUAUCCUCGUGAUAUUCAAAGUGCAUGCUCAUGAAAAUACUUCUCUUUCUCCCGCUCCCACUGCGCUACCAACCAGGCUUCAUCUUUUCCAACUUGAUAAUGACGAUAUGAGUUAUAUUGAACGUUGCAUUGAAAGCACACUUGCAAAGAGCACACAAUCUUUUUAUAUUGCUAAACAUCUUCUUGAAUGCCUUUUUGAGGACCCGAUGCAUCCUAAAGAUUAUCCAAUAAGCUUUUUUGAGGCGUGGAUGAGGUUCCUUCGUUAUUGUAUUUUGACAGAGAAAUUUCUUGCCAUCAAUCAUGCAUAUUGUAUAGCAGAUCGCUAUAGAGCAAAACUGAAGAAGCAUUAAAGAUCUAUAUCUACAAUCAGUGAGCUUCGAGUUUGGGUGUCUAAGAUGCGUGGCAUUAUAGGUCGGUGAACAAGAUUUUGAAUAGUUGGAUGGCAUAGAUAACAACUCUUAGCUUUCUUGCUCCUUUUAUUUAUGUCUCUCUUGAGUUAUAAAAAUAAAGAUGUAGAGAUACUUUUACUUGAUUUUGUGUUUGAAUUUUGGUCAACCGACCCCAAGAUUGUAUUAUUCUUGAGUAGUUUAUGUUAUUAGACUAUAUGUGGGUUGAUUGGAAAUAUGUUAAUUUUUUUUUUAA